rnacentral:misc_RNA from 1 species
UUUCCGUAGGUGAACCUGCGGAAGGAUCAUUAUUGUAUAACCGAGGUGCGAGGGCUGUCGCUGACCCGAAAGGUCGUGCACGCCCGAGUGCCCUCACACACAUCCAUCUCACCCCUAUGUGCACCACCGCGUGAGUCCCCCUUUGGCUUGUUCGGAGGGGGGCUUACGUUUUCACACAAACUUUGUAUGCAGUGUAGAAUGUAUUUUUUGUUUUUGCGAUCACGCAAUCAAUACAACUUUCAACAACGGAUCUCUUGGCUCAC